AACGAACGCUGGCGGCAGGCCUAACACAUGCAAGUCGAGCGAGGACUUCGGUCCUAGCGGCGGACGGGUGAGUAACGCGUGGGAACGUGCCCUUUGCUUCGGAAUAGCCCUGGGAAACUGGGAGUAAUACCGGAUGAGCCCUUUGGGGGAAAGAUUUAUCGGCGAAGGAUCGGCCCGCGUUGGAUUAGGUAGUUGGUGGGGUAAUGGCCUACCAAGCCGACGAUCCAUAGCUGGUUUGAGAGGAUGAUCAGCCACACUGGGACUGAGACACGGCCCAGACUCCUACGGGAGGCAGCAGUGGGGAAUCUUAGACAAUGGGGGAAACCCUGAUCUAGCCUUGCCGCGUGAGCGAUGAAGGCCUUAGGGUUGUAAAGCUCUUUCAGCUGGGAAGAUAAUGACGGUACCAGCAGAAGAAGCCCCGGCUAACUCCGUG
rnacentral:rRNA from 1 species